GCCAAUACCUUUGACCUUAGGUCAAACAACCUUUAUGACCUUUAAUCCUCCUAAUUCAAACCCAUUACACCACCCAAAUGCACCUAAAACAGCUCAUUUACAAAUUGAAAAUAUCCCAACGAAUAUGACAAGACGGGUGACACGAAACUGCAAAAUUGUGGGCUCCACCAUAUCUAUGUAACACCUAUUUACACAUAUGUAAUACUGUGUUUCGCAAGAGAUCUAUGGCCCAGAUUGAGCCUCUACUUGCAAGAGCCGUUAUCUAGGUAUUAGCUUAUAAAUGUAGACCCUCACCUACGGUAUUGGGACCUCGGAUUUUAGAGAAUUGGACGAAGCCCAACCAUUUAACACACUGAAAGCCUGAAUCCUUAGAAACCCUAAAGCCAAGAACCCUAAUUCCCCUUCUCAUAGACCUCUGAGCCUACUUUAAACCUCUAAAACCUUACCCUAACCCAACAAGAUAUACCCUCUAACCAAUUAAAUCAUACACUCUCAGUUACCAUCCAUAGACCCUAGACUCUUUUUAUAGAUCCUAGGCUUAGUAUCCCAUUUAAACCUAGUUUAACACCGAUUCAAUCUUAACAUUGUUCCAUCCCAAUUGGCAAACUCUAAUAGGCGAAAGAGGUCGGCACACAAUCUCAUAUCUUAGCCAGACCACCAACUCCGGGUCCCUGGGGUGUGGGCCCGGUUUCAAGUAAGUUCAUCAAUUUUUCUUUUAUUGAGAUUUUCAUUUUGCAUAUUUAGUACAGUUUAGCCUUGGUCCCUUAUUUCAAAACCAUUUUCUAAAUCUCUCCCCUUCUUUGCUUUAGAAUUUCCUAAACUUCUUCUUGUUUACGAAUUUUCGGCCUCAUCGUCCCAUAAGCUAGUAACUGUCAGUGAUCGUGUGAGAGAGCAAACCUUCGGCCUACAUCCCUCUCAUACCAUAAUUUGAUGGGGCUCCAAUCUCUUCCUCUGAUUGACUUCGUUCCCGUUUGUAGGUGUGUGGCGUCACGGUCGAAGAGUUGUGUCCCGCCUCGCCGCCCUCAGGCGUAAUUGUGAACACUCCCCAACAUUGUAUUACCUCUCUAAAGUUUUACUGUUCAUGGCAAAUUAUAAAGCUUUGAAUGAGUUUGAAAAAGACUUCCAUUAUAAGGAGUUAAAGAUGUACCUUAACAUGUCACAUCUUUUGUUUUACUGCAAAAUAAAAGAUGAGCAUCCCAU
rnacentral:lncRNA from 1 species